rnacentral:lncRNA from 1 species
CCGUCUUUCACGCCAUCCAAGAAUCAGCCACGACCGCCAGCCCAAAGUCCCCAAAGUCGUGGGAGCCCUUCUCUCCCCAUCAGGAUAGACGGCGCUGAGCAGCCCCCGGGGGCUGUGACCACGCUCGCUGCAUUUGACUUCUGCUGUGCUGGCUGUCAUUACGUUUUUUUCUUCCUCCGCUGAAGUUUCUAUCAUUAUCCAAUCCCACAGCCACAGAAGCAUCAGAAUUUUAAUAGACUCGGGCCCCAGAGCCUGAUAGCAAAACAUUAUGAUACACGGCUGCAGAUGGAAAGUGCUGGGUCUUUACAUUUCAACGGGAGCAGUGUGGAUUUCACACCCUUCCAUGGGGCCUCAGGGCCCCGCAGGGCGAUUGGAAAGCCUCCCGUGGUGGGAGGCCCAUUGCAUUGGCCCUGUCUUGCUGUCCCUGGCCCUGUCCCAAAGUUAUGCCACGGGCUGGAUACCAGAGCUUUAGAAAAAAACAUCAGGGAAGAUUUUGACCACCCCUAACGGUUUCCGGACGUCCGUCCUACUAGAGCUUUGCGCUUGCGACUGUGUUUAUUCUCUCCCUCCACACAUUCCCCUUCCCAUGCACUUUCCUUCACCUUACCAGCUGACCGGGUCCCUCUUUCUCACGGCUCUCCUCUGCCCACCCCACCGAGCUGCUUUCUCUGCGCCCCCUGCUCUGAUAGCAAGUGCAUGUGACGGGGCUGCGAGCACAGACCCUUGGCUUCAGGCCAACCCACAUGCAGUUUCCGCCUCUGUCUCUUACCGGCCUUUUGCCUUUGGGCAGUUCCUCAACCUCUCUCAGCCUGAUUUCCUCAGCACAGCGAGGGGGAGGCGAUGCUUAGCUCACAGAGCUGGGGGUGACUGCCAAGAACCUCUGCCUUCCUGCCCUUGGCCCCCACCUCCUUCCCCCUCCCCUGUCACCCCGUCAUGGUCAGCCCCCUCACUCCUCGGAGUCUUUCUCCAUCCAGCCCCAAGAGGGAGGAAGAAGAUCCAGAGGCCAGCUCAGGACACAAGCUGCGUCAGCUUUAUGAGUAAUAAGUCUCCUCAGGGUUGA